CGUGUAGGCGGCCAGAUAGGUCUGUUGUGAAAACUCGAGGCUCAACCUCGAGACGCCGAUGGAAACCAUUUGGCUAGAGUCCGGAAGAGGAGAGUGGAAUUCCUGGUGUAGCGGUGAAAUGCGCAGAUAUCAGGAAGAACACCCGUGGCUAAGGCGGCUCUCUAGUACGGUACUGACGCUGAGACGCGAAAGCGUGGGAGCGAACA
rnacentral:rRNA from 1 species